GCGGACGUGGCGGAACUGGUAGACGCACUGGAUUUAGGUUCCAGCGCCGAGAGGCGUGCGGGUUCGAGUCCCGCCGUCCGCA
rnacentral:tRNA from 1 species